GGGUUGUGAGGUUAAGCGACUAAGCGUACACGGUGGAUGCCCUGGCAGUCAGAGGCGAUGAAGGACGUGCUAAUCUGCGAUAAGCGUCGGUAAGGUGAUAUGAACCGUUAUAACCGGCGAUUUCCGAAUGGGGAAACCCAGUGUGAUUCGUCACACUAUCAUUAACUGAAUCCAUAGGUUAAUGAGGCGAACCGGGGGAACUGAAACAUCUAAGUACCCCGAGGAAAAGAAAUCAACCGAGAUUCCCCCAGUAGCGGCGAGCGAACGGGGAGCAGCCCAGAGCCUGAAUCAGUGUGUGUGUUAGUGGAAGCGUCUGGAAAGGCGCGCGAUACAGGGUGACAGCCCCGUACACAAAAAUGCACAUGCUGUGAGCUCGAUGAGUAGGGCGGGACACGUGGUAUCCUGUCUGAAUAUGGGGGGACCAUCCUCCAAGGCUAAAUACUCCUGACUGACCGAUAGUGAACCAGUACCGUGAGGGAAAGGCGAAAAGAACCCCGGCGAGGGGAGUGAAAAAGAACCUGAAACCGUGUACGUACAAGCAGUGGGAGCACAGAGCAAUCUGUGUGACUGCGUACCUUUUGUAUAAUGGGUCAGCGACUUAUAUUCUGUAGCAAGGUUAACCGAAUAGGGGAGCCGAAGGGAAACCGAGUCUUAACUGGGCGUUAAGUUGCAGGGUAUAGACCCGAAACCCGGUGAUCUAGCCAUGGGCAGGUUGAAGGUUGGGUAACACUAACUGGAGGACCGAACCGACUAAUGUUGAAAAAUUAGCGGAUGACUUGUGGCUGGGGGUGAAAGGCCAAUCAAACCGGGAGAUAGCUGGUUCUCCCCGAAAGCUAUUUAGGUAGCGCCUCGUGAAUUCAUCUCCGGGGGUAGAGCACUGUUUCGGCAAGGGGGUCAUCCCGACUUACCAACCCGAUGCAAACUGCGAAUACCGGAGAAUGUUAUCACGGGAGACACACGGCGGGUGCUAACGUCCGUCGUGAAGAGGGAAACAACCCAGACCGCCAGCUAAGGUCCCAAAGUCAUGGUUAAGUGGGAAACGAUGUGGGAAGGCCCAGACAGCCAGGAUGUUGGCUUAGAAGCAGCCAUCAUUUAAAGAAAGCGUAAUAGCUCACUGGUCGAGUCGGCCUGCGCGGAAGAUGUAACGGGGCUAAACCAUGCACCGAAGCUGCGGCAGCGACGCUGAUGCGUUGUUGGGUAGGGGAGCGUUCUGUAAGCCUGUGAAGGUGUGCUGUGAGGCAUGCUGGAGGUAUCAGAAGUGCGAAUGCUGACAUAAGUAACGAUAAAGCGGGUGAAAAGCCCGCUCGCCGGAAGACCAAGGGUUCCUGUCCAACGUUAAUCGGGGCAGGGUGAGUCGACCCCUAAGGCGAGGCCGAAAGGCGUAGUCGAUGGGAAACAGGUUAAUAUUCCUGUACUUGGUGUUACUGCGAAGGGGGGACGGAGAAGGCUAUGUUGGCCGGGCGACGGUUGUCCCGGUUUAAGCGUGUAGGCUGGUUUUCCAGGCAAAUCCGGAAAAUCAAGGCUGAGGCGUGAUGACGAGGCACUACGGUGCUGAAGCAACAAAUGCCCUGCUUCCAGGAAAAGCCUCUAAGCAUCAGGUAACAUCAAAUCGUACCCCAAACCGACACAGGUGGUCAGGUAGAGAAUACCAAGGCGCUUGAGAGAACUCGGGUGAAGGAACUAGGCAAAAUGGUGCCGUAACUUCGGGAGAAGGCACGCUGAUAUGUAGGUGAAGUCCCUCGCGGAUGGAGCUGAAAUCAGUCGAAGAUACCAGCUGGCUGCAACUGUUUAUUAAAAACACAGCACUGUGCAAACACGAAAGUGGACGUAUACGGUGUGACGCCUGCCCGGUGCCGGAAGGUUAAUUGAUGGGGUUAGCGCAAGCGAAGCUCUUGAUCGAAGCCCCGGUAAACGGCGGCCGUAACUAUAACGGUCCUAAGGUAGCGAAAUUCCUUGUCGGGUAAGUUCCGACCUGCACGAAUGGCGUAAUGAUGGCCAGGCUGUCUCCACCCGAGACUCAGUGAAAUUGAACUCGCUGUGAAGAUGCAGUGUACCCGCGGCAAGACGGAAAGACCCCGUGAACCUUUACUAUAGCUUGACACUGAACAUUGAGCCUUGAUGUGUAGGAUAGGUGGGAGGCUUUGAAGUGUGGACGCCAGUCUGCAUGGAGCCGACCUUGAAAUACCACCCUUUAAUGUUUGAUGUUCUAACGUUGACCCGUGAUCCGGGUUGCGGACAGUGUCUGGUGGGUAGUUUGACUGGGGCGGUCUCCUCCUAAAGAGUAACGGAGGAGCACGAAGGUUGGCUAAUCCUGGUCGGACAUCAGGAGGUUAGUGCAAUGGCAUAAGCCAGCUUGACUGCGAGCGUGACGGCGCGAGCAGGUGCGAAAGCAGGUCAUAGUGAUCCGGUGGUUCUGAAUGGAAGGGCCAUCGCUCAACGGAUAAAAGGUACUCCGGGGAUAACAGGCUGAUACCGCCCAAGAGUUCAUAUCGACGGCGGUGUUUGGCACCUCGAUGUCGGCUCAUCACAUCCUGGGGCUGAAGUAGGUCCCAAGGGUAUGGCUGUUCGCCAUUUAAAGUGGUACGCGAGCUGGGUUUAGAACGUCGUGAGACAGUUCGGUCCCUAUCUGCCGUGGGCGCUGGAGAACUGAGGGGGGCUGCUCCUAGUACGAGAGGACCGGAGUGGACGCAUCACUGGUGUUCGGGUUGUCAUGCCAAUGGCACUGCCCGGUAGCUAAAUGCGGAAGAGAUAAGUGCUGAAAGCAUCUAAGCACGAAACUUGCCCCGAGAUGAGUUCUCCCUGACUCCUUGAGAGUCCUGAAGGAACGUUGAAGACGACGACGUUGAUAGGCCGGGUGUGUAAGCGCAGCGAUGCGUUGAGCUAACCGGUACUAAUGAACCGUGAGGCUUAACCUUACAACGCCGAAGGUGUUU
rnacentral:rRNA from 1 species